CUAAGUCUGAUGUGAAAGCCUUCGGCUUAACCGGAGAAGUGCAUCGGAAACUGGAUAACUUGAGUGCAGAAGAGGGUAGUGGAAACUCCAUGUGUAGCGGUGGAAUGCGUAGAUAUAUGGAAGAACACCAGUGGCGAAGGCGGCUACCUGGUCUGCAACUGACGCUGACGACUCGAAAGCAUGGGUAGCGAACAGGAUUAGAUACCCUGGUAG
rnacentral:rRNA from 1 species